GAUGAAGAACGUAGCGAAAUGCGAUACUUGGUGUGAAUUGCAGAAUCCCGUGAACCAUCGAGUCUUUGAACGCAAGUUGCGCCCGAAGCCACUAGGCCGAGGGCACGCCUGCCUGGGCGUCACACGCCGUUGCCCCCCCAUCUACUCCUUCGGGAUUGCGGGGGGGCGGAUGAUGGCCUCCCGUGCGCCUAGCCGCGCGGUUGGCAUAAAUACCAAGUCCUCGGCGACGCACGCCACGACAAUCGGUGGUUGCGAAACCUCGGUUGCCCGUCGUGUGCGUUCGUCGCGCAUCGAGGGCUCGAAAAAAUGCUCGGCUCCGGCUGGGCUUUCAACGCGACCCCAGGUCAGGCGGGGUUACCCGCUGAAUUUAAGCUUAUCAAUAAGCGGAGGA
rnacentral:misc_RNA from 1 species